CGCUAAGCCUGAUGCAGCCAUGCCGCGUGUAUGAAGUAAGGCCUUCGGGUUGUAAAGUACUUUCAGCAGUGAGGAAGGUGGAUAUGUUAAUAGCAUAUUCAUUUGACGUUUAGCUGCAGAAGAAGCACCGGCUAACUCCGUGCCAGCAGCCGCGGUAAUACGGAGGGUGCGAGCGUUAAUCGGAAUUACUGGGCGUAAAGCGCAUGCAGGUGGUUUGUUAAGUCAGAUGUGAAAGCCCGGGGCUCAACCUCGGAAUUGCAUUUUGAAACUGGCAAACUAGAGUACUGUAGAGGGGGUAGAAUUUCAGGUGUAGCGGUGAAAUGCGUAGAGAUCUGAAGGAAUACCGGUGGCGAAGGCCGGCCCCCCUGGACAGAUACUGACACUCAGAUGCGAAAGCGUGGGGAGCAAACAGGAUUAGAUACCCCUGGUAG
rnacentral:rRNA from 1 species